GCGGAUUGUUGUGUUGUCGAUGUUGUUGUCAAAAGUUCCUAUUAUUCCACGAAAUUACCGAUUAAUUCAUAAGAUGUAACGCGAAAGGAAGCAUCAGCCUUCGAUCAACCCUUUCAUAAUUGACGUUCUGCUGAAUGCAUCAUCCAGUUAAUACAGGUCACUAAUCCCAGUGUGGACAUGUAUUGUUUUUUUCCGAACAUGUUUUUCUACGAAUGUUGCAUUGACAGACAAGUAUU